AACGAACGCUGGCGGCAGGCCUAACACAUGCAAGUCGAGCGAGGACUUCGGUUCUAGCGGCGGACGGGCGAGUAACGCGUGGGAACGUGCCCCUUGGUACGGAAUAGCCCCGGGAAACUGGGAGUAAUACCGUAUGAGCUCUACGGAGGAAAUAUUUAUCGCCAAGGGAUCGUCCCGAGUUGGAUUAGGUAGUUGGUGGGGUAAUGGCCUACCAAGCCGACGAUCCAUAGCUGGUUUGAGAGGAUGACCAGCCACACUGGGACUGAGCACACGGCCCAGACUCCUACGGGAGGCAGCAGUGGGGAAACUUAGACAAUGGGCGCAAGCCUGAUCUAGCCAUGCCGCGUGAGCGAUGAAGGCCUUAGGGUUGUAAAGCUCUUUCAGUGGGGAAGAUAAUGACUGUACCCACAGAAGAAGCCCCGGCUAACUCCGUGCCAGCAGCCGCGGUAACAC
rnacentral:rRNA from 1 species